rnacentral:snoRNA from 1 species
AAGACUAUACUUCAGGGAUCAUUUCUAUAGUUCGUUACUAGAGAAGGUUUUCUUACUGUGCAGAAUGAAAUCAAGG